rnacentral:lncRNA from 1 species
GCUGAGUAACAAAGAGAACAGAGUUCACGAAAGACAAGAGGAUAUGCGAACAAAACUUUGCUCAUUCUUUUUUCAUUCAUUCAUAGGGAUAGCGAACGGAACAGAACAGGAACACACGACAGGUAGCAUCACGGACAAACACCUAAUGGUAACCCUUAAACAUCUCAAACCCUACGCGAUGGAGCGAGAUCUAGGAUACUCGGGAGCGAUAACAUCACAGAUAAAAGGUAACAAGGAUAACUGGCCACGAGGGGCCCCACCAUUCACUCCCUCCAGUUGCCGCCGCCGGAGCCUCCACGGCUGCCACCGUAGCCGCCGCCGCCACCACCGUAGCCGCCGCCGCCACCAUAGCCG